AAUAUAAUGGUCGCUAUUGGUACACAACAUUGAUUAUUAUAAUGAACAAGGUUUUUUUUGUGUUUUUUUCCUUUAAUAUUAUCACAAAAGUUGUAACCCCACACACUUUAAUUUAUAACAAUAUAUAGAUUUUCAAAUUUGUUCAUUUAAACAUGUUAUAUAUUUUUAUAUUUGUUUUUAUCAAUAUAAUAUCAAUUUGACAAAAUAGCAUAAUGAUAUAUAUAAAUUAGUCAAGUUUGAUAAGACUUUUAUAAUUGAGGAUACUAAAAAAUAGGUCAUCCUUUUAUUUGAAAUAAGUUGAACUCU
rnacentral:lncRNA from 1 species